CGAGACGUAGCUACAAUACAAAGCAUUCAGCUUACACCUGAAAGAUAUCUGUUACUACUCAGAUCGUCUCGA
rnacentral:tRNA from 1 species